UACGUAGGGGGCAAGCGUUGUCCGGAAUUAUUGGGCGUAAAGCGCGCGCAGGCGGCUUAUUAAGUCUGAUGUGAAAGCCCACGGCUCAACCGUGGAGGGCCGUUGGAAACUGGUAGGCUUGAGUGCAGGAGAGGAGAGCGGAAUUCCCGGUGUAGCGGUGAAAUGCGUAGAUAUCGGAAGGAACACCAGUGGCGAAGGCGGCUAUCUGGACUGACACUGACGCUGAGGCGCGAGAGCGUGGGGAGCAAACAGG
rnacentral:rRNA from 1 species